rnacentral:rRNA from 1 species
UACGAAGGGGGCUAGCGUUGCUCGGAAUCACUGGGCGUAAAGCGCACGUAGGCGGAUUGUUAAGUCAGGGGUGAAAUCCUGGAGCUCAACUCCAGAACUGCCUUUGAUACUGGCGAUCUUGAGUCCGGGAGAGGUGAGUGGAACUCUGGGUGUAGAGGUGAAAUUCGUAGAUAUUCGGAAGAACACCAGUGGCGAAGGCGGCUGCCUGGGCCUGGCCUGACGCUGAGGCGCGAAAGCGUGGGGAGCGAUCCGG